rnacentral:lncRNA from 1 species
AUGCUUACUGCUGGCAAAGCGCGACCUGCCCGCAGGCGCCCUUACGCAACAUGUCCGGCGGGGCGGAAGGCGGGGAGGGGGCGUGGCCAUGCGGCGAGGCCCCGCCCCCCGCGGCCGGUGUGGGCGGGGCCUCCGCUUCCUGCCCGUGGGGGCCGGGCGGGUGCCCGCGCCCCAGGCGCUCGGCCCCGCCCCGCCCGCGGGGUGUCCGCGCCCCGCCCGCAGCAUGCAGGGCGCCGCCGCCAUCCCCGGGGACGUCCGCGGCCUCCUGGCAGAUGUCGACACGUUUAUUUCUCAAACCCUAAAAGGAGAAAAUCUGUCCAAGAAAGCAAAAGAAAAAAAAGGAUGUUCUUCUUAAGAAGAUAAAAGAGGUUAAGGCAAGUUACCCUCAAGAAUUCCAGGAUAAAG